rnacentral:rRNA from 1 species
UAACGCGUAAACAACCUGCCCUUCGGAUGGGGAUAACAGCCGGAAACGGCUGCUAAUACCGAAUACGAUCUUUUCGUCGCAUGACGGAAAGAAGAAAGGAUGGCCUCUAUACAAAGCUAUCGCCGAAGGAGGGGUUUGCGUCUGAUUAGCUGGUUGGAGGGGUAACGGCCCAACAAGGCGAUGAUCAGUAGCCGGUCUGAGAGGAUGAACGGCCACAUUGGGACUGAGACACGGCCCAGACUCCUACGGGAGGCAGCAGAG